AAAGAAUUAUAAAUAGUAGUCUAACUUUAACCAUUUUACUGUGAUUCGAACUUGAUCUGUCCUUCUCCAGCUGCUUCUGAGGACGUAGAAGCAGUGGAUAUUAAACACAAUAGGUGUAUAAUAUAAAAGACUGGGUCACACCGUAUCACCCAGGCUGCACUACCGCGUCUAUUCACAGGUGCUAUCCCACUACUGAUCGGUACGGGGGCUUUGACCUGCUUCGUUCCCGACCUGGGCCGGUCCACCCCUCCUUAGACGACCUGGUAUUCCCGAGCUCCCUUAGGAACACCAUAUCGACACCGAUCUUAGUGCGGACACCCGAUCAACAAAGCCCACGGUAGUGUAGAACCCCCGAGCUCAAGAGCUCCACCAGCCUCAGCCUCCCAGCGACGUGGAUUACAGGCGCGCGCCACCGCACCCGGCGUGCAACGUCCACUCUGAAAUGAGUUUUAAAUUUAAAUGGGUCUUCAUUAUGGUGCCACCUAGUGGCCAUUAAUGCCGCAAAUGGAAUAUUCUGUGUCCAUCCAUUUAAUACAAAGAAAUACAAAAAAUGGGAAAAUGAGCGUGUAAUACUUUGAACACUCUGUAAUGAUGAGCUGUUGUUGAAUUCAGUGCAGUGGGGUGUUAAAGAAACCAAGAUGACCUGGUUUUCCGAAUAAUGGGAGUCAAAUGUAAAGAAUAUGCUGAUGGAUAAAUUCACACUGUUAGCAUAUUAUACAGCCAUCUGAGGAUCGCUGCUUUUUGUAAUACUACUGUGUAUUAGUGUUUUCAAGGACUACCAUAUUGCUUUUAGUAUAAACCACAAGUUUUGUGAUAAUCAUAUUUUUGUAACUGAGACAUUUUUUUUAUAAACUGCGUAGUUAAGACAUUUUCCCCCCAAACUCAUCUUUUUAAGACAAUAAAAUUUUGAUGACUUUUGAACUCAUAAUACCUACUUAGCUG
ensembl:lncRNA